AUAUCACUAAGCGGAGGAAAAGAAACUAACAAGGAUGGCCUCAGUAACGGCGAGUGAAGCGGCCAGAGCUCAAGAUGGAAAUCUCCGUGCAGAGCACGGCGAAUUGUAAUCUAGAGAGGCUAAUCUCAAAGAGUGGUGGCGCAGAAGUGUCCUGGAACGGACCGCCAAAGAGGGUGACAGCCCCGUACGUGGUGCCGCAGCUUAACGAGAUGGUCUUCAAAGAGUCGGGUUGUUUUGUAUUGCAGCCCUAAGCGGGAGAUAAACUUCUUCUAAAGCUAAAUAUAUGUGGGAAACCGAUAGCGAACAAGUACUGUGAAGGAAAGAUGAAAAGCACUUUGGAAAGAGAGUCAAAAGACCUGAAACCGUUGAGGAGGAAGCGGUAGAGAUGAAUUCUACGGCAGUACUCGGGGGAAGCGAUCAAAUCAUGGUGGGGAAGUCGUACGUCAAAGGCGGCUCUUUAUCCAAGAGGAAAUCGGUAACUUGAGUGGUGUUGUGAGGCUGGAUGAAGUCACAUGAUCACAAAGGCCUGGCAGGAAAGGUGGAGUUCGCUUUGCAGCCUGCUGGAGUCGGUGGACGUGUGGCUUGAGGGUGCCUUGUGCGAUCCAGUCAAAAUGGUCUUUACCGACUCGUCUUGAAA
rnacentral:rRNA from 1 species